CGAAUGCGGCCUCCACGGGGAGCGGUUCGUCCUUCGGACAACAAUUCGAACCGCAGCGCGCCAGCCACAGGUGCAGCUUCUACCAGACGAACUUGAACCACGUCACCUAAUCGGUGCAUGGCACCGCUGCGCGAUCCGAUCAGGGCGUGGCGGGUCUCGUCAUAGUUGUAGUACUCGCUUCCCAGGGUGCGCNNNNNNNNNNGAGGCCAUCCGCGCCCGUAUCGGCCAGUUUUACGAAUAAUCCCGCGCGGGUGACGCCGGAGAUUCG
rnacentral:misc_RNA from 1 species